rnacentral:rRNA from 1 species
GUUUUGAUUUAUACAGUGAAAYUGCGAAUGGCUCAUUAAAUCAGUUAUCUGUUUAUAUUGAUAGUUCCUUUAUCUACUKGRUAUAACUGUGGUAUAUUCUAGAUGACAUAAUACGAUGCUUAAAAUCUCUACCCUUUGGAAUAGAUGUAUUUAUUGAUAUAAAAAAUCAAUGUGCUUCRGACUCUUUGAUGAUUCAUAAUAACUGUUUCGAAUACAGCAUGUGUCACAUUGUGCGUAGGCAAUGGUUCAUUYAUACAUGUAUCUGCCCUAUCAACUUUCGAUGGUWGGAUCAUAUCGGCCUACCUAUGAGCUUUCAACGAGGAUAACUGURGGAAUACAUGGGUUCUCGAUUACCGGACAGGGAAGACACUGACAAMYAGCUACCACAGUCCAGACGAGAAGGCAGCAUGAGCAUCACAAAUUAUCCCAUACCUAAUAUCGAUGAGGUAGAGUAGUAGACAAUAAAUAAYUAUACUAUGAGGCCCAUUCARKUCUUGURAUUGCAAAGAAUACAAUGUAAAUACCUUAACUAGGAACGA